CAGGCACCCUUAAGGCCACCGCUUACUGAUGGGGUCCUUUAGCUGGAGGACCCCGGGUUCAGAGCAGCGUGGAGUUGGGAGAUGGGACACGCCGAGUGCAAUCUAUCAGGCUCCCGAAAAGGCAAUGGCUGCGCAAACACAAAACCCUAUAUGGGAUCAUUUUACCCAACCAACGCCGGGGAAAGCCAAAUGCAACAUUUGUAGCACAUGCACAGUUCUUUAAAAUCUUUGUAGUGUAAGUAGCACACUGCAAAUAAGUUUGUUUUUUCAUAAAUGAUACAACUUUGCAACUGUUUACAUAUUUAUUCUUUAUAUUUGUGUGAUGCUUCACUUUUUCCAUGUUGCAUAAAUAUGAACAAAGGAUUUGUUAAGGCACUGAGGACAGUUGAUCCAAAGACUGAAGGUUAAUGUCCAUUUUAUUUUUAACUCUGGUAUUUUAUUUUGUGUUUUAUUUUGUGUAAUGUGUAUAUUUGUGUUUAUUUCUAAUGCCAAACUGCACUACAUUUUUAUUUAUAUUUUAGAAGUGUUCAUUUUAUUGUGUGAUAACAUUAAUCAUUGAUACUGAGCAAUUUGCACUGAAGCCACUUUUCAAUUUACAGUUUUACAGUUUGAUUUGUUUACAAAAUCUCACUCAGGUUACGUUUUGAUAUUGUAUUUUUUGUGUGCAAUUUAAAGUUUUAUUGUGUGAUAACAUUAAUCUUUGAUACUGAGCAAUUUGCACUGAAGCCACUUUUCAAUUUACAGUUUUACAGUUUGAUUUGUUUACAAAAUGUCACUCAGGUUACGUUUUGAUAUUGUAUUUUUCUGUGUGCAAUUUAAAGUUAAAUAAAUGUUAAGAGUUCUACUA